rnacentral:rRNA from 1 species
CUCAGAUUGAACGCUGGCGGGAUGCUUUACACAUGCAAGUUUGAACACGAAAAUAUGACUUCGGUCUGGUGGCGAGUGGCGAACGGUGAGUAAAUGUAUCGUGGAACGUGCCUAGUAGCGGGGAUAACUACGCGAAAGCGUAGCUAAUACCGCAUGGCCGCCCUUCGGGGGAAAGCGGGGACCUUCGGCCUCGCAAUUUUGCCAGAGCGGCUGAUAUCGGAUUAGCGAAGCUGGUGGGCAACGGCUCGCUUACCAAGGCGACGAUCCGCAGCUGGUUUGAGAGGACGACCAGCCACAGCUGGGACUGAGAUUACUGGCCCAGACUCCUACGAGGCAGCAGGGAAUUUGGACAAUGGGGGAAACCCUGAUCCAGCCAUCUCGGCGUGUGCGAUGAAGGCCUUCGGGUUGUAAAGCACUUUUGGCAGGAAAGAAAACGACACGGGGAUAAUACCCUGUGCAACUGACGGUACCUGCAGUAUCAAGCACCGGCUAACUACGUGCCAGCAGCCGCGGUAAUACGUAGGGUGCAAGCGUUAAUCGGAAUUACUGGGCGUAAAGCGUGCGCAGGGGCGGUUCGGAAAGAAAGAUGUGAAAUCCCAGAGCGAAUUGAACCAUUUUUAACUACCGAGCUAGAGUGUAAACAGAGGGAGGUGGACUCCGCGUGUGCAGUGAAAUGCGUAGAUAUGCGGAGGAACACCGAUGGCGAAGGCAGCUCUGGGAUAACACUUGACGCUCAUGCACGAAAGCGUGGGGAGCAAACAGAUUAGAUACCCUGGUAGUCCACGCCCUAAACGAUGUCAUCUGAAGGUUGUAGCCUUCGGGCCUUUGUAUAGCAGCUAACGCGAAGCUGGCCGCCUUGGGGAGUACGGUCGCAAGAUAAAACUCAAAGAAUUGACGGGACCCGCACAGCGGUGGAUGAUGUGGAUUAAUUCGAUGCAACGCGAAAACCUUACCUUUACCCUGACAUGUUCGGAAUCCCGAAGAGAUUUGGGGAGUGUUUCAAGAUAACCGGAACACAGGUGCUGCAUGGCUGUCGUCAGCUCGUGGCCGUGAGAUGUUGGGUUAAGUCCCGCAACGAGCGCAACCCUUGUCAUUAGUUGCUACGAGUACCUGACGAGACUGCCGGUGACAAACUGGAGGAAGGUGAUGACGUCAAGUCCUUCAUGGCCCUUAUGGGUAGGGCUUCACACGUCAUACAAUGGUCGGGACAGAGGGUCACAACCCGCGAGGGGUGCCAAUCCUUAGAAACCUGAUCGUAGUCCGGAUCGCAGUCUGCAACUCGGACUGCGUGAAGUCGGAAUCGCUAGUAAUCGCGGAUCAGCAUGUCGCGGUGAAUACGUUCCCGGCCCUGUACACACCGCCCGUCACACCAGCGGGGAGUGGUUUACCAGGAGUAGUUAGUCAACCAAGCAGGGCGAUUACCACGGUAGAUUCAAGACUGGGGUGUAGUCGUAACAAGGUACAG